rnacentral:lncRNA from 1 species
GCGGCUGCCGACUCUCACCUGGUCCGCCGGCUGCGCCUGGCUCGCCCUGGCCCCCGGGGUGGGCUGCGGCUCCUGCUUCGCGGCCGUCAUCGCCGGCGGCCCGCGCUGGCGCUCGCUUCCUCGCGGGCGCUUCAGACUCGGGGACCGUCACUUGGCAGCGUUCGCAGGUCACGGGCGCCCGUCGCUCCCGGAAUCGGCGGAAGGGACGGGGUGGGGGGAGCGGAGGGGCGGGGAGGGGAAGAAGAGCGGCACCGGGCGGGCUCCCCGUCGUAGGGUCCCUCCCUCGGCCACCGCAGACCCUCUGACUCCCCGCUCUCCCCGCCCCCCGCCACCCAAAGCGCAGCGAGCCGCGGCGGCGAGGCGAGACCAAGCGGCAAGUUAGUGCAGCGGCGAGCGGCGGGGCCCCGGCCCCUGACCGAGCUGCGGCGACGCCUCGUGCCUUCUUCCCGCAGUCCGCGCCCCCCACCGCCCGCCCCCGGGGGCUCCCCGCGCGGUGCUCAGCGCGCCAGGUGGAGCAGCCGGGCGCCGCGCUCCGGCCUCUCUUCGGCAACCGCAGCCGGGGGGGGGGAGAGCCCGGAGCGGCGCGAGAGCCCCCAACCCGCGCGCCCACGGCCGCCGGCUUCCGCGGUUACCCCGCCCCCCGCAGGCUUCCGCUAAAACCCGGAGAAGCGGAGCGCGCCCGUGCGAAGCACUGGGUGGCUCCAGCUCCGCCACUGCGCGCGCUCCAGCGCCCCAGAAGGCAGGGGGCAGCCCGGGGACCGGGGUCCCGGAGCCCCGUGGGAGGCGGGCAACACCUGUCGGGACCCGAGGGCGUGUCUGAGAUUGUGGCCUGAGGUGCUGCGCCUUCCGAUCCGGGGCAGCGGGCGUCCUGUAGCUGCGCCUUCCGAAUCCAGCCCAGAUUCUCCUACCAGCUGCUUGGGUCACGUCGGUGGAACUCCUAAAGGGAUGCCUUCAAAAUGUGUGAAUAAGCUUCAAUCAGACUGCCCUUCCCAAAGAAAAUAACUAUAAAUGCUGGAAAAACUACAAAACAGCCACCUGAAGGCACUGGCGAGAGACAAAAGCAAGCAAAUUCUGGAGAAGAGUCAACACUUGGAAGAAGGGAGCUGCACUGGGUACAUGGGGAAGGAACAGUGUCUCUGCAUGAGAAUGGCCAAAGAACAAGAUACAUUUCCCCGUGGAGAGCAAUCCUAGAGAGAGGGAAGCAUGGGUCAGAAUAAGGUGUACUGGCCCCAGGGUAAUAGCAUGUAUUUCUGUUGCAUUGGUGUUUCCAAAAUAAUGCUUCGGUUCCAAGUUUCAGGAAUUGGUUGGGGGAGCAUGGGGAUCAUACAGUGAUUCAGGAGCUUCCUUGCAAGUAAGUGAGUGAGCCAAUCAAAUAAUUUAUGUUUAAAUCUUUCACUGUGUUAAAUGUUGAAAAAUAAAGCAAGUGAAUUCCAUCCUAUGGUGUACACAGCCCUUAUGAUUAUCCGAUAUAGGUCUCAGCCUGAAAUAACUCUGCAUUUUCUCAGCCACUUUGCUUAACACAGUGUGAAGUGGAUCUAGGACAAGGAUACAAAAAAAAAAUACUAUUCUUCUGAGAUGACAUAAAGAUCUGGCAGAAGGAAUCUCGAGAUUGGCAGAGGCUGCAUCUGAGAUUGCUCUGUCUUCUGCUGGUACUGGGAUAUGAACAGAAUGAAAUGUCCUGGGGAUCAUUGGGUAUCCGGGGAGAUUUCUCCAAUGUGGUACUUAGCUCAUUCCAUGAUGCCACAUACCUUUAUGCUAUCAGAUAAUACAAAUGACCUAAGGUCUAGGAGACUAAAAUCUGUUGAGGCAUGGCCAUCCUCAGCAAG